UAAGAGCUUUCCAGAAGACAGGGAGGAUGCUAGGUUGACUGGGACACCUGAAGCCAAUCAGGGGCUUGCUGAAACUAGUUAAAAACCUCCCAGUUAGUCAGGUGGGCGUGCAUGGCAGGAGCUGUGAGAGGAAGCUGUGCUGGUGGAGAGACUAAGCUGUACACACCAUAUUAGGCACAAGGAAGGAGGCCCUGAGGUACUGGAAUGGCAAUGGACAAUAUUACCUGGAGACAACAUGUACCAGGAGAAUAGGAGAGGGCCAGUGAAAACUCUAAGGCAUGUUGACAGAGGAAGAAAUUCUAAAGGAACUGUCAGAAAGGUGAGAGGAACUGUCACAAAAUACUUUACAGCGUUGGAUAUGGUUCUUCUGACACAGGGAUAAAGGACAAGAGG